GUUCAAGGGGAAGACUUGAGAAUCCAAGUUGAGGAAGAUGGAGAGGAUGUCAUUGCCAAAAAAUUGGCAAUUGUGGGACUUUGGUGCAUUCAGUGGAACCCUGUGGAUCGUCCUUCAAUAACCUUCGUUCUUCAGAUGCUUGAAGGAAAUGGAGAAAGUCCGAGUCUUCCACCAAGUCCUUUCACCUCAACAGAUCCCAUGAAUCCAAGUACUCCAAGCUUGCAUAGAAGACAUUUGGCUUCAGGAUUGGCAAUGAUCUCUGAGUUAGAAUAAGAUGCUAGAGGUUAAUGUCAACUGAAAGUCUUGUGUAUUAAUAGCUCCCAAUGUUCUGCAAAUGCAAGAAACAAAAAGAAGAAAUUGAUGAAUAAAGUAGAGGUAAUCAAUGAUAUAUUUUACAUGUGUACUGUAUUGUGGCUGAUGGUUAAACUACCUCUUCUUAUGUGGGAUAAUAGCCGUUACUAAAUGCCAUGAUGGCUCUUAAAUAGUUGAAUUCUUCAACACAAGGCAAAACCAUGGCUUAAAAGACUGAACCAUAAGAAAGAAGGAACCAGAAGAAACUUUGAUAAGUCUAUCAGUUAGACCAUUGAGCACUGAAGUUGUUGCUAUUAUUAUUAUAAUAAUUAUUAUUAUUGACAAAAUCAAGUUGUUAUACUUUGUUAUUUUUUUGGGUCAACUCCUUUUGUUGUUAUUUUUGUAUUAAAAAAAAAAGAAAAUUGUCCCCUUAUUGCCUUCAUUUGUUUUGUUAGGCAGCUCGUAUGAUAACCGCUUUCGGGUAGUUAUUCGAGGUCUUCAGAUCGACCCUUACUGGUAACAUGUUGUGCGUUUUGGGCAAACUCUGCACAGCUGCAGGAGAUUAGUUUGGACAAGAUAUCCUAUGUCCACAAAAAAAAAAGUAAUUAGUAAGAAUUUGAUUUGUGGCCUCGAUACAUGUCUGACUGCAAUAAUAAUUAAAGUUGGAUCCACCCAAAACUUUAUUAUUACACGCCUUAACCAAAAAAAAGAAGAAGAAGAAGAAGAAGACGAAGAAGCUUAUCAGCUAAGUGCAUGGAUAACUGGAUACAAAAAAAUUUUGUUAAAAUUUUCCAAUUUAUAUGCUUGAGGGUGAACGCGUACUGCAAAACAUACCUCCUUGCUUUGGCAGAAUAUUGGGAUUUUUUUUUUGUGGGGGUGAACGCGUAGUGAGAGGAGUUUGCUAAAUCUAUAAAUUUUGUGCAGAAAAAACACAUAAAUUUUUAAUGUCGCACUCACUAAAUGAGAGGUGUAGCUGCCUCCAACACAGCUGCCUCAAAUAAUACCCGAAAGCGGUAUUCAUUUUAUUGAUACAGCAGAAAACAGAGCUUGUUAUAAUUUCCAGCCAUUUAUGGCUUCAUUCUUACUCAAUCCAACCCAACAUUAUACACAAAACAAGUCCAGAACACAAAUUCAGUUCAAUAGCCAUUCCAUAGGCUCACAACAACACACGAACAAAGAUUAAGCUAGUAUCAAGUGCGGAAAUGCAAUUACAAAAGACUGAUUUGACGGGCUUUGCGGAAAUAACAUAUCCGAGGCUACGCUUAUCAGAUUGAUACACAGCUUAUACCAUUUUGAAGCUAAGACAAAGGCCUACAACUUUCAUGAAGAGUACUUAGUCUAAUUUCCAGUGUAACCUGAUCAAAUUCCCAAUCCAUAUAACCUGGUUUCAACUAUUCUGCUAAUCAACCGCACUGCACUCAAAUGACCAUAUCUCAGUCUACCGAGGUCCGUUUAAGACGUUCUUAGCGGCGUUACAAAGCUGAGACAAGGCACUAAAACUUUUAUGUUUUAACAAAUGACUAAAUCCAAACGGAUUAUAGUGAAUAACUCAACCAAAAAGGACUGAACUGUCCACACGGAACUCUGGAAAGUGACCUAGAUCAGCGAGGGUAUUUUCAUCUUUUCACAAGCUACGUUGCUCCGAUUGAGUUGAAAUUUUGUGGAAAACUAUAAAAUACCAUUCUCUACAACUUUUAUGUUUUGACCUAAGGCCAUUUCAGCCUCUAACAUGGAGCAACAAAAACGGACAGAAAGGGGGGAAAUUUUCCAGAAAUCUGGAAUUUGUUGAUCUUCAAUGAAACUUUCUCAAAUUUCUUAUUCCAAUCACUACCAAAGCCCCUUAUAUAAACUUAUAUUCAACAUAUACAACUAAACAACAAGUGUAGACAGAAAUUAAUCAAACCCUAACUUGUUUAUUUCAUCCAAUGAUCAUCACAACCACUUGCACAUCUUGAAAUCAAGCCAAAACUUAAGCUAAAUAACAUCUUAACACAAGAUUUAAAAGAUCAAGGACCAUGAUCAGAUUUAAUAUAUCAAAGACAAGCUUGGAUGAGUGAUAAUCCACCUCCUUUGAAAUAAGUAGCAAAAGGCCAAUCAACACCCAAGAAGCUAAUACUUUGUCAGUUUAAUAUUCUUCCAAGAAGCUAUCAGUGCUGAUCGGUUGCAAGAUGAUAGGAGAAGCUUUUUCUUCCUUAGUGAAAAUUCUCUUGUUUUUCUCUUCCCAUAUAUGAUAGACAGAAAAUGCAAGAGACGACCUGAAUUUUUAAUCAAGAAAAUUUUUCCUAACACAAUAUUUUAAUAUUCAAAGCAUAUGCUCCUCUGUAUGCCAAAUUCGAACUCUGCACACUUCUCUCCAAAUAUUUGCAGCAUAAGUGUAAUCCUCAUGAUCACGUUAACUUUAUUUCAUGGGUUAAUUAGUGAAGGUUAUAUAAUCUUGGAGGUUUAUGUGAUUAAGUUUAGAAGUUGGGGGACUAAUUAAUAAUUUGAGCAAGUGUUUAUAUUGGAAGAAUUUUGAGUUGGACCUCACUUUACUCUUCCUAACCCUUCCUACUAUUUCUCUCCAAAAUAUCUCUUUAGUCCUUCUCCUGAGACAUUUGUUUUAGGAGUACUCCUACACCCCUCAUUCGCAAGCCUAAUAUGUCAUCUCUUUCUCUAAGAUUAAAACUUUUAAAAAUGUUGUAUUCGUGCAACACAUAUCAAGAAACGUUUAUUGGAAAACUGAAGUUUAGAUCUUUUCAGAACCGUUUAUCAUUAUGACACAAAGCAAUUCCAUUUUCCUCUCCACUCCCCUUGAAAGCUUAGGCACAAUGACUGACUUUUUGUAAUCAAAUCAUAUGAACUCAGAGACAAUGACAGUAGCAAUCCAUAACUCAAGAGAAGGUGCCAAUGUCGUGAUGCUUCUUACGUACAAAACCUCAACUUAAAUAACUGAACCAACAAGAAGAAACACUAGUUCUCUUCUUCAUGAUUAUUUGAAAAGUAUAUCAGCUAGACCGUGUAGCAUUCGCCUCCACUUACUCAAGCAGGUAGGAUCCAGGAAAUGUCUUAUUCUGCACGUUGAUGAAAUGGAACGACAUGUUUCAAAGGAAAAAUCCACUAGAUAAAGCAUUCACAAGGCUAUGUCAAACUAACAAUUUGACCAGUAACAGCAACACUAUUGGAAAGGAUCGAUCUUACGAAUUUGGAGGAAAUAUUUAGAUAUGCUGCUCGCUGUUUUAGAUAACAUAAUAGUUUAAGAAAAAAAUAUGGAUUGGAGCUCAAUUGUAGAAAUUAUUAAGUUAAACUCAAAGAUUGAUGCUGGUAUUACUAUUAUAUAUGAAGCAUAUAUCAAGGAGCUACCCUUGAGCUUAUUGAUACCAAACUGAUAUUUCAGUUUGCCAUGCUAUCUGUUACUAGGUGGCAUAUUUGAGAGUUUGAAAGACAAAUCCACUAGACAAAGAUUUCACUGAAUGCACGAAUUCUACUUAGUCAUCCAUCUGCUCUAUUUCUAAAGCAACAGAGCUACAUAGGGGCACCGUUGACUCAUCAGAAGAACUACUAUCGCUGCUUCUUUGCAUGGAUAUGGGUGAAUCUGGAGGGUAAAACGACGGUUUAGGAGGCAACUUUAGGCCAAUAGCAUCACCUUCAAGUAUUUUUAAGACUUCUCUCAUUGAAGGACGAUCCUCAGGUGUCAUCUGUAUGCACCACAAGGCAAUCAAAAUCAAUUUUCUUGUAAUUGUCUUUUCUUCUUCAGUUGCAUGAUCGCCGAUUUCCAUUUCCUCCACCUGAUCGAAUUUGUCAUAUAUCCAUGAAGGGAAGUAUAUUUGACUAGAAUGCUCAGCAUGCGCAUCCACAUUUCUCCUCCUUCCUGCCAUCUCCAUUAGUAACAUUCCAUAGCUGUAAACGUCUGUCUUAUGUGAGACUCUUCCAAUCUUUUUAUAGAACAACUCCGGGGCCAUGUAACCUAAAGUUCCUCUCGCAGCAGUAAGAGUUGCAAUACUCUUUUGCAUCGGGUAAAGUUUUGCAAGUCCAAAGUCCGAAACUUUUGGAACAAAGUUGUCAUCGAGUAAGACGUUAUGCGGCUUAAUAUCAAAAUGCAGAAUUUGCAUAUCACACCCAUGAUGCAAGUAUUCGAUGCCACGAGCAAUCCCCUUUGCAAUCUCACAAACUUGUUUCCAACUCAAUGGAGAACCAUUCUGACAAUUUGAGAAAAUUAACUUGUCCAGAGAGCCAUUUGGCAUGUAAUCAUACACUAGAGCAUGUUUUGAGGCAGUAACACAAAAUCCCACUAACUGAACCACAUUCACAUGGUGUAUUCUUCCAAUAGUCGAAACUUCAUUGAUGAAUUCUUGGCCAUUAGCUUUUGAUUUGUUCAGCAUCUUGACAGCAACUGUCCCUCCACUGCGCAAUUUGCCUUUGUAAACCAAACCAUAGCCUCCUUCACCUAGUUUCUCCUCAAAAUUUUUUGUCAUUGUCUUUAUUUCUUUGUAUGAGUACCUAAUGUUGUUUCUUUGUAGGAAAUCUUCUAUUGUAUCAUACCUCGAUAAAUGCCUGCGAUGACACCGAUAAAGGAGGAAAGCAAACAAGAGGAUAAUGCCAAUGACAUGUUUUGCUGCAAUAAGCAGAACUGAAAUAGAAGAAGAGAACAAUAAGACUUAGCUAAGAUUGACUUCUAGUGUAUGUCUUUUCAACUAUAAAUCAGAUGCCUUACUCGAAAUUAAGCCACCAAUAUUAAAGUGAUCUGCUUAUAAAAGAAAAGUUAAAGGAUUAUAAUGGAAAUAUUGAAAUAGAAAGAAUCUGAUUGAUUAAAAAAUGGUUUUUCUGUAAAUCAAAGAAAUAAAAUUACUGACGUCCAUUUGGGACAUAUGGGCCGAGGAGACUGUAGACAUCUACCAAUAUGAGAGCUCCAUCGCCUACGUACAGAAGGCAACGUCAAUGUCCAAUUGGAUGCUUAAAAAUCAACUUUUAUUAAUUACAGCUAUAUAUUUCACACUCAUAUGCGUGCAAGUUUCAAAUUACUAUGACAAUAAAUUCAAAGUAUGUUUGUUUUGCAUGGCUUAAAGUAAGAAUUCAAUAAUUCAUAUGUUUGUUGGGAUCAUAACACAAAUAAGCUUUUUAAAAAUCCAACUUUUCUAAUUUGACCAUGUUCCUAUAUUUUUUUGGUUUGCUAAAAAAGAUUUGCAGCAACAAAUAAAGACAAAACAGCAGUAGGUUUCUGGUAUUCUGAUUCCCAAAAAAAAAAAAGAAAAAAAGAAAAAGAAAAAGAAAAAAUCCACAUCAUCAGUAUUAUUGUACACAUGAAUUCUGUAUUUUAUUAGUUGCUAUUGAUUGUGGACAUCAAAUGUUGUAAGAAGUAUAACAGUUUGUCUUAAGUAUAUUUUAUUAGUUGCUAUUGAUUGUGGACAUGCAAUUCGUUACAUGAAUGAUGCAUUGAAUUUUUGCCAGGAUCAAAUAAAAUUAAGAAAUCUACUUGAAGCUGGAAAAUGAAAGGGGCUUACCCAGAGUUAACUCAAGUCAAAUUUCAUACGGUUUGUCUAAGAGGUGCUUAUAGGGCACAAGUUAAAAUAUAUUUUAGGUGUUAUAUUUUUAAAAAUAUAAGAUUAAUUAGAGAAAGUAAAUAAGUAGAAGAAAAGGUAGGUAAGAUUAUAUAUAAAAAAAUAUCUAUAUCUACAUGUAUUAGAGAACAGGUUUUCGACGAAGAGCCUCCACAGGCAUGAGAAAUCUAAAUCCCUUUUUAUUAUAAUUUUAGAUUUAUCUUAAUUUAGUAAUCCCUUCUCCUUAUCCUUUCUCACUUUCCAAUUUACGUGACCCACUAACCCACAAAACCAAAACUCCAAAAUUUUAAAUAACGGAUAAUAAUCACCCAUGCAAAAUCACAUCUACAUAUGCCAAAUCACGUCUGACACUUACGAAUUUGAGAAACUCACCAUUAUGAAUUCCCACAAUUCUACGUAUCCUAUUGCAUAACGUAUUUUACUCUCAUAAUCAUUCAUAAAACUGACAAUCACUAACCAAUUUUCAUUUGUCAUCCACACAAACCAAAUAUAGUGAGAAGAAAAAAAAAAGUAAGACUACGUAUCAUAUUCCCACCAUGGACGAAUCUCACCUAUAAGCAUUUCAACGAUGCCUCAAUUCCAAACUUGCAAGAUUGCAAAGAAGAAAACAACUAAUCACAAAACGAAACCUAUACUGCAGUGAUUCCACUAAAAUAUUUCCAAAGAUUUAGCAAAUUCACUUCCAAGAAAUACAAGUUUCACUGAAAAUUUUUUUAUAGUAUGACCUCCACAAAACUUCAGCAAAAUCAAUUAAACCACCAAUAUUAGUUUUCAUAUUAAAGGUUGAUUGGUGUAAAAAAUGUUUGCACCUUCAUUCAAGAUUAUCAAAUCUAAUGCAUAAUAUUUAUAAGUAUUUCAUUUUGAAAGCAAUUACUACAACCUCUCCUACCUUAUCAUCUAAUACAACCCUCCCCCUAUAAAAUCAUCUGAUUAUGUCAUUACUUUUCUUUUUGAUCUCUAAAUCAAAAUACUUCAAAAAUUAUGUUCUGUUGACAAUUUUUUGGCUUUCAAUAUGUCAAAAAUAUUUGAAUGGUGAAAAUAGGUCAAAAUUAUAAAAAAAAAAAAAAGAAGUUGGUAAUGAUUAAUUAGUUGGCAAAGCUUAGUCAACUGCAUAUGAAAUUUUAUGUAUAACUAACAAAAGUGAUAAAAUCCAUUAUGAACAGUGUUGAUUUUUUAGAAUAAUUUUUAAACUCAUUUUAUUGAUGUGUAAUAGAUAGAAAUUCUCCCUAGUACAAUGAAGAGGAACCUAGCCUAAACACCUCCAGACCUAAACCAAAAACAAAAGGAAAAAAGAAAAAAAAAAAGUCACUUCAUCAGUUUCUAAAUGAAACAAAUGACCUAGAGGGAAUUGGGGCAGAGGCAAUAGUGUACCAAUAUUAUAUUUCUUGCAUAUAUUUACAUUAUAUUAUUUUGCACAUGAAUUUUUCAUUCUAUUUAUUGCUAUUGAUUGUGGACACCAAACAAAAAAUGUACCUGCCCCACGUUUUUGACUCACAGAAUAAGAUCUUAAUAAAUAGCCUUAAUGCUCUUUAGUUAAUGUAAUACGUAAAAUAAUCAAGUAUGCGCAUUUAUUAGAUAGCAAGGUCUCGCACAAAGUAGUGAUAUUUGAUAAUGCAAUUCAUUACAUGAAUGAUGUAUUGAAUUUUGGAUUGGAUCAAAUAAAAAUUAAGAAAAGAAAUCUACUUGACUCUAGAAAAUGAAAGGGACCCCUACCCAGAGUUGACUCAACCCAAUUUCACAUAUACUCUCCGUUCACUUUUGGGAAAGAUGAGUCGCCAAGCCAGCUGGUUGUAGAAAGCACAAGCACCAUUAAAAGGAGAAUUUGAGAUCCACAACUCAAAUGCAUUAAUCAAUUAUAUUUUGAACAUUAAGACUUAUAUGAUGCAUGAAAUUUAAAAUAAACGGUUGUGCUCAUCAACAAGAUUUGGUUGUUCUAUAAUUAAAAAAAGAAAGAAAGAAAGAUGAAUAGCAGUACAUCUUAACUUAAAAUCUUCCAAUAUACGGUAAUUUGUCAUUAAUUCCCCAAAAACAUAGUUUCAAGCAGUAGUAUUGAAUACUUUUUAAAAGAUCUAUCAUAAUCAAUCAUCAAUCAAGAUGUUAAUAAAUCUUCAAAUCAGUGUACUUACAAAAAAGGGAUCUCCUGAUGUCCAGGCCUCCGUACCAUUUGAGCUCAUGGCCAUUAGACAGAAGAUUGUGGAUGUCUUGAAACGAAAUAUCUCCUGCUGUUACAUUAGGGAGACACCGCAGGUCUGCAGCAGCUGUCUUAUAGAUGGUGCACGACUCUUCAAUAUCAGAUGCCACCACGCUUUCACCAACCACAACAUAGCUAUAAUAACCGGGUGGAGCUUUCAUUUUUGAAAAAUGAUUUGCAGUGACAUUACAGGAAGCAGUGUCUACGUAAAGAGGAUGAUAUUUCGAUUUCACCGGAUUUUUACAGCUCACAAAGACCAACCAACCAGUAUCGGGAACUGUCUUCCCAGAAAAGUAGUAUUCGUUGUAUGGAUUUUGAUAGUAUUGGUUGUAUGGCUUGAAUGGGUAGACUGGCAGAGUAGAACAGUUAUUCUUUUGCACCCCAGGAUCAAAUAUACGAAGUGUCCGUUGCUCAUAAUCAAUACUGUUUAACUCCACAGAAAAGUUAUACUGUUGUAUCUCCGGAUAGGAACCAACACUCAAGGAUAGAACACUGCGAUUGUUUUCACAAGAGAAUUCAAUAACAUAAGGUUCAGGGCACAAAUCAUCACCACUAAAUUGAAACGGGCACUUUAAAUUGAUGUCGGUGCCCCCGCAAGUGGAUGGGCGACGGUCACUGCUGGUGUUUUUGGAGUUGAAGGUAGGAUCACCAUAUCUCCGACAAUGGUCACCGAAAAAAGUACUAGGUGUGAUCGCGAGAACGAAGAAGAAAAUUGGGAUUAGAGAAAACACAACUGCCAAAAUCUGAAGAUGGAGCAUACUUGUUACACAUUGACUGAGUGAAUUAUAAAAAAGAAGCCGGAUAUAUGUAGGAAACGGAGAAGGGGCACUUUACUUGGCAAAGAGGAUAGGACCUUAUUAAUUAGGCCUUAUUAAUUUAUUGAAUAGGCCAAAAUUAAUUUAUUGAAUAUCUCUUUCAGAACUAGUCCUUAUUACCAGAGUUACAUGCUGUAACAUAAAAUACAGGAAAAUAUGUAGCAAAUCAAAUUCAAGAAAAUUAAUUGAUCUGCCAACCUGGAUGUGGCCUUUCACUAACCAUAUCAAAGUACCAAACUAGGUUUUUUUUCGUUUUUUCCUCCUUAAGGGAGUCUAGUCUAGACUUUUGAUUAUUUCUUUUAAGCAGUCCAACAUAGAUUUACAAUUGAAAACUUUAACCUCGAAAAAAGAAAAAGAAAACAAAAGGAAAAUCAGUCAGGUAAUGAGUCUAUUAAUAUAUAACUUAUAUUGUAAAUUUAGAGCCACAUCAUUAUGGUGAUGCAUGAUGAACAAAAAAAAGUUAUAAGAAAUGAUCUUUUUUAAUGAAAAACACAAACAAUAUUAUGAUGACUAGUGUAUUCGAUAAAAGAAUAAAAAGAUAUCUGAUGAGAAGCUAAUUAGUUCACUUGAAAAUAUCAAGAUCAGGUUUAGAAAAGUGGUUCACUCGUUCUUUUCCUCUUUAUAAUUUUUGGGGCCCUGGAAUUGAAUGGAGUAUUGAAUAAUUUGAGUAUAUUCGACGUUUUAACGUUUUAACUUUCCAACAACAUCAGAUCCAUUAAUGUUUUGCAGAAUAGUCUUUUGUUUUUUUCUUGUAAGUCUCAAUUGAUGGUAACAUGAAAAUCAAGUCGAGUAAAUCCAAAAAAUUUAAAAGAGAAAAAACCUCUAGACCUAGAUGCUGUCUUCCACUAUUCACACACUAAAUGUCUAAUUGUGUAUUUCCAAAGAACUUCUGUUCCACAUUAAAAAAUCGUAAUUAAGAAACCUAAACAAUUAUAUAAUACUAAACAAUUUUCAACCAUUAUAUAAUACUUAGCUUCUUAAUUAAGAAACCUAAACAAUUAUCAAUGAAUGCGUAUGCUGGGUUACUAACCGGGUUUUCUCGUUCCGUAUCAUAAAAGAUGUCAAAGUCAUUGUCGGAAUAAAAUAUAUCAAAGUCGUUGUCGGAUAGGUAUUGAUAGAAGUGUGGAUGUUGAGCAAGCUGCCAUUGUCAUCUACAGCGUUUUGAUGCAUUAAUUAGCGGAUACGGGGCAGGAGCGGUCCUCAGACGACCGCUCCUGAAUGGUCUCCUCACAAUAAAAAACGUGAGGAGACAAAUGAGCCAAGUCAGCAAGGCUGAAGCAGGGCACAAAAACGAUGCCGUUCCAAAUAAAAAAAUGUUGACUUCCAAACGGGAGCAGACGGAGCAAACGGAAGAGAAUUGAUUUUUGAAAUUCAAGUUGAAAUUUUGAAUUAACCGCAGAAAACAAAACUGAGGGAAGCCAAAUAAUUAAAUUGUGAAGGUAAUCUACUCUGACCAACCACUCACUGAAGGCAGAAAGCUGAUGUUCAGGUGGGAUUCAACCUACUGGGUGUUUCUAGGUGAAGUGGGUGUAGCCUACUCUGAUGAAAGUAGCAAUUGACAGAAAAAUGGGUGGAGAGGCAGGCGGCAUGGAAGAAGCAAACAGAGAUGAAGCCAAAGUUUGUCCGUAAAAUUGAAUAACAGAAGCAGUUGUGGUCUCCAAUUGGGUAUAAGAGUGUUGUAUGUAUUCUGAAUGCGUGCAAGAGCGGCGGUAAGGUAGAAGCAAAUAGAGGAAAUUCAGCAUCUCACGAAACCAGAUUUUGUCCUUCAACUUAAUAGCAGAAGCAGCUACGUCUCCGACUUCGGUGAAACGUGAAGCGUAUUAGCAGACCAAGGUAACAUGACUGAACCAUGUCAGUAAUUGUGGCCAAUAAUUUGUCACCCAAAUGCACAUCUGUUAAAGGAAGGAUGAAAUUAGAGUCACUGAAGACAUAAUAUGAAGAUGAUAGAAGAAUAGUGAAGUUGUACUGUAUUUGUAUGUGUGUACCGUAUCUGUGUUUGUGUGAGCAUUCAGCUUUUCAGUGAUGGACUAUAAUGGGAUAGUAGUUUUUGGAAGACCUAGGGUUAUGUAUUCAAGUAAACCGUCGACUGGAAUUAGGGAAAGAUGAGAGAAACAAAGUCACAUUUAACAAGUGAAUGAAUAUACAUCCUGUUGUAAAUUAGUUACAUGUUAUAGCCACCGUAUUACAAUUGAUAUGAAUCACUGUGCAUUUAGUAAUUGGUCCAUGCUCAUGGAGCAAUAUUAGUUUGCCCCUCUUCUGACCAUAUAGUGUGUGUAAAAUGGAGGCGUAGAGUUGAAUGAGAUGAAGCAGAGGAAAAGACACAUAUGUGAAUAAUAAAUGGGUGAACCUUGUGUUGUAAGUCAAUUACAUGAUGUAAGAAAUAUAUUACAAUGAGUAGAAAGUAGGGUUAUGUAUUCAAGUAAAUCAUCGACUGGAAUUAGGGAAAGAUGAGAGAAACAAAGUCACAUUUAACAAGUGAAUGAAUAUACAUCUUGUUGUAAAUUAGUUACAUGUUAUAGCCACCGUAUUACAAUUGAUAUGAAUUAUUGUGCAUCUAGUAAUUGGUCCAUGCUCAUGGAGUAAUAUUAGUUUGCCCCUCUCCUGACCAUACAGUUGUAUAAAAUAGAGGCAUAGAGUUGAAUGGGGUGAAACAGAGGAAAAGACACAUAUGUGAAUAAUAAAUGGGUGAACCUUGUGUUGUAAGUCAAUUACAUGAUGUAAGAAAUAUAUUACAAUGAGUAGAAAGUACUUGUUUGGCCCUCAAAAUGUAGAAAAAGUAGAAAAUGUGGAGUUGGUUUAUGCGGUUGUCAUUAACGAAUGACAUAAGGUCCAGUAAGCUAAAGAAUCUAGAAUCAAAAUAUAAUCACCAGCGUGGAUGUACAUACAGUUCAAAUAGACUUACAACGCGUGACCAAUACAUUACAGUCCGUAUAAGUUAGUGUACAUGGAGUUGUAUUUGUACAUAGAUAAUACCGUUGUCUUAGAGUAAAAGUAAGGUGAUGUGAAUCAUUAAUCCUAUUGAUAAGCGUAAUAAUAGGAUUUGGUAUACGAGUAAUGUGUGAUUCAUAACACAUUAUAAAUGGUAAUAUACAUUUAUAUUGUCGUUUAUGUACAUACUAUUCAUGAAAUGUUGCAAAUUAGGGUAUUUGAUGCAUAAUUAGCAGGAGUAGAAGUAAUGGAUUGCAGCAAAUUGGCAGAAAAUGGGACCCCUGAAUUAGGAAUGGAGUUCAACAGUGAAGAGGAUGCGUACAAGUUUUACAACAAGUAUGACUUUAAAAUGGGUUUCAGUGUACGUAAAGACUAUCUGAAUAAAGACAAAGACGGCAUGACCACGUCUAGAAGAUAUAGUUGCUGCAAGGAAGGUGUGAAACGCAAGUACGAAGGUGAUGUGAUGCCAAAGAGGACACGAGCGCCGACGAAAACAGGGUGUGGAGCUAAGAUGGUUAUCGUGUUGUUUAGAGGGACAAUGAAGUACCGUGUGCAUGACCUUGUCUUAGAGCAUAAUCAUGAGUUGCACAUUGCUCAAUGUGCUCACAUGAUGCCAUCACAAAGAAAAGUGAGUGUGGCUCAAGGAUUCCAAGCUGAAAUAAGCGAAGAUGCUGGGCUUUCAUUGAAACAGAACCUUGAGCUUAUGGGAACGGAAGCAGGUGGGAUGGGUAAUGUGGGAUAUACUCGGGAUGAUCUUAAACGAUAUCUUCGAACAAGACGGGAAAGGAGCUUGAAAUAUGGAGAAGCAGGUAGUAUGCUGAAUUAUUUUCAAGAGCAAACACUCGAGAAUCCAUCCUUUUUUCAUGCCGUACAGCUGGACUGUGAAGAACAAAUAACGAAUAUCUUUUGGGCUGAUGCAGGAAUGUUAAUUGACUACAACUUUUUUGGAGACGUAGUCACAUUCGACACAACCUACAAAACAAAUAAAGAAUACCGGCCACUUGGAGUAUUUGUGGGUUUUAACCAGCAUAGGCAAAUUGUGAUAUUCGGUGCUGCCCUUAUGUAUGAUGAGACGAUAGAUUCUUUCAAAUGGGUGUUUGGUACAUUUUUAGAAGCAAUGUGCGGAAAACAUCCAAGUACCAUACUAACCGACCAAGAUCACGCCAUGGCAGCCGCUCUUUCAAUUGUCAUGCCUGAAACAUUUCAUGAUCUAUGUACGUUUCACAUAAGGCGUAAUUUUAUGAAACAUCUUGGCAAUCAUUACAAGGAAAAUAGUGAUCUUCCAUACAUGUUUGGUGCCUGCAUGUAUGAGUUUCAAGAAGUGGAACAAUUCAAUAGGGUGUGGGAGGCGAUGGUGAAGAAACACAAUCUUGAAAAUAAUGAAUGGCUCUCGGGGUUGUACAAAAUUCGUGAUAAAUGGGCAAGGUGCAUGAUGAAAGAAAGAUGGACUGCGGGAAUGCGAAGCACCCAACUCAGCGAAAGCCUAAAUGCAGCAAUUAAAAAUCAUUUGAAACUGGAUCAUGACCUUGUGCAGUUCUUUAGACAUUUCAAUCAGGUGGUUGAUGAAAAGAGACAUAAUGAACUGAUCGCAGAAUAUGAAAUGAGGCAAAAGCUCCCCAUGGUAGGGUUAAGGCAAACACCUAUGCUUGUGCAUGCAUCAGAGACGUAUUCACCAACCGUAUUUGUUGCAUUCCAAAAUGAAUAUGGCGAGUCAACAGCUAUGGUUAUAUUGAGACAACAAGAUGCAGCGAUGUUUGUGGAGUUUGCGGUCAUGAGGUAUGAUGGAGGACCUGAAAGAACAGUAGUAUUCAAUCGGAAUGAUUUAAGUGUACGUUGCAGUUGCAAAAAAUACGAGAAUGAAGGCAUUUUAUGUGGGCACGCGUUGAAGGUGUUUGAUACUGUGGGCAUAAAAAUAAUUCCUCCUGAAUACAUUAAGAGGCGAUGGACAAAAAGAGCUCGGGCUGGAGAUUGUUUUGAUCGGCGAGGACAGGAAGUUGUGGCUGAUCCUAAAGUCAUGAUUUCAACUCGUUAUCGGGAGCUCGCUCCAGCCAUGAUUAAGGUCGCAACUCGAGCAGCAAUGUCGGAGGACACCAGCAAAGUAGCAAUCACUGUUAUAUCCGAUUUGUCAAAGAGAGUUGAGCUCCUCCUCUCAGAAAGUGAAGAGCAACCUUUGCAAAAUCAAAAAAAUCUGAAUAUGGAGGAACGAGAUAAAAUUGAAAUUGUAAAUGAAAUGGGGGAGGCAGUAGUCGCAAGAGGCAUUAAAAAACGAGACGGUGGGAAGAAAAGUAAAGUGAUGCGAAGUUGGGUCGAUAAAUUUGACAGAGUAAAAAGAAAAUCUAGAUUAUCAAGAACUACACAGACUACGGUAUGGAUCAAAUUUUGGUACUUGGGGAACAUUUAUGCUAAAACUAAGUUAUUGUUAUACUAUUAACUAAAGUUUAGGUAACAUUCAUUAUGAAAUAAUAUUAUUGCCGUGUCAAUACUGUAGGUCUCAGAAUCAGAACCAACAUCGGUUUCAUUUGAGGAAUACAUGUUUAUGGGAUGCCGUUCAUCUACUGACUCUGUUUCGGUUAGUAUAAAAUGGACAUGACUCUUACUUUUAUUUGGAUGUUUCUAACAGCAUAAAUAGUUACAUUGAUGUUACAUUGUGUGAUAAUGUUGUUACGGCCGUCAUCCCUCCUGAUAUAUGUAUUCUGUUUGUCUUAUACAAUGAUUUGGCCCAUACGAAACUUGUAGACGCAUUCAAUGAGUCAGACAGUGAAUGACCCUCCAAAUGUUGUUGCUCCCGAUACCGAUGAAAGUCAAACGGUAUGCAUGCAUUUAGUAGUUAAAAUAAAACCUUCUUGUUCAUGUAGUAGAGCUACCUUUUUUUCUUUAAUUGUAACGGUGGGCUCCCGAAGGCUGUCAAAUCAUGCAAAUUAUGUAGUUAACGUAUGUUCGCUUUAAUAACGUAUUAUUUUUUAUUAUUUCAAGAUCCACCGUUUGGCUAAUCAGGGGCCUCAUGCAAGUGUCCCUACAGAAUGGAUGCAUCCCAGAUUUUCUAUUUUUCCAAGCAUAACUCCAUCAGAGAUGUCUUAAUGGUCUGAUAUAUCAUUUUUGUUAUAAUGUCUAGUCCAAUUUAACUUUAUAAGUGAGCAAUAUAGGCACUGGUAAUGAUUUGUUGACAGUCGAUUACUUAUACUAUAUAAUGUAGGAGGAGCGUGGGGCAAUUUCAACACACUGUGAUGUUGAUGCAUAUCAUGUAUUUGCACCAUCACCUCAGGUGAUAAACUUUUAUCGUUACAGCACAUAUUUAUGUAAUGUUAUUAAUUGGAGACUUGGACAUCGUAUAUCAUUAAUCGUAUGUUUUAUUAAUAAUAUUUGCUGAUUUGCCAUUGUUACGCAUUUCAGGGAAGAAAUAACACACAGGGAUUGCAACUACGCGUUGACGUCGCCUCCCCCCAAAAUGAGGUUGAUGAAUGAUGUGUAACUAUACAUUUUGAACGAGACAUUAAGUGGUUAUCCCAACUUGAGAAUGCUGCAUAUGUACGUUACAAGCAGUUAAUAAGCUGUUACAACUUAUUGACGAGAUUAUACAGGCACCAUUGAUGUUUCACUCUUUUCAAAUUUAGACAAAUGGAUUACAAUUGUAAUCGCAUCUAAUGUUAGUAGUCAUCCAUAGUUUGUAUUGGGUUGUAUAAAAUUGUUAGAAAAUUAUAAAGUUGGUAGAAAAUUGAAGUAACAAUUUUACAAUAGAAUUGAACGUAUUUUUUGUGAUCGGAUAUUUUUCACUAAAUCGACCAUAACAGUUGAAUGGUUAUCGUGAUAUGUAUACCAUUCUACUACAUUCAAUUGCAUACCUUAAUAACAUAUUUAUUGGCAUGGAUCGCACCGCCAAAGGUACGAUAUAUAGGAUAACACAAUCUAAAGUCUAAAUUGUCUUGAUUUUGUUAUGAUGAUAAAUUCGAAUUAUUAUUGGGCUAUUUUUAUAAAACAUUAUCAUUUAGGCCAUUUAUUUUGCAUCGCUUGACGAAUUUAGUGCACCAUUGACAUGAUAUAUCACAGGCACAUCAAUUGGUAUUACAAGUUUUUAGGUUAAUUAAAUUAUGGUCAAGUCAGGUCACGACCACAUGUUGGUAAUAGGUGCGCAUAAGAAAAUGAUUCCUUGGAGAACUAAUUUGUAACGUUAAAAUGAAGUUUUACAAUGCAACAAAAAAGGAAGAACGAACAGUACACAAUAGAUUACAACCAGUUAGGGAUAUGUUACUGUUACGUUACAACUAGUUACGACUGUUUAACAGGCAUGAUUAAUAUCCAAAUAUGGUAAGCAAUUUGUUUGAGUAGAGAUUAUAAUGAGUAUAGUUUUACCGCUACCCUAACAAACAUUGAACUAUAUCCCUUGUUAUCAGUUGUAUCCCAUACAACACCUGGGAACGCCGUCAUGCAUUAGACAAUGGGGUAUGUACCUUUGAAAGUCAUCGUCGCUUGAUUCAGUAAAGUCAGAUAGGUCCGGAUCGGAUAUAAGCAUGGGAUCUGCUAAAAUGUGCUGAACAUCAAAUUGUUUUCCAAUACCAUGUCUUUUUUCGGCUUGGAUCUCGUGAAACCUGUGAAGCCUACGCUCCAUCUGCAUAACUUGUCGCUGUAGUCUAUGUAAUACGCUUGCAUCAUUGGCUUGUGGUCCUAUAAUAAGAUCCGCCGACCUUGUUCUCGGGACGCGGAGGCCAUGCCAGCAACAAAGUACCUCUAAUUCCAUUCUUCGCUCACGAACAGGCUCCCAUAUGGGUUCAUGGUUCAUAACGGAAUAGCCAGACGGUAGAUGAUUAUUGACGGUAUUUUUAAAAAUGUGACCAGCUAGUCCCAGAGAGUUGUUGGUGUUAAGCGGAGCAUUCUUGAACUCGCGUUUGGUACCAUAUAAAAUCCUCCCGUCUGGUGUUUCGUACUUGCUGAUGGCAUUUGUUGGACCCAACGAUACUUUCCGUCUUUUUUGCCGAACAUUUGAUGGUGAGCUUGUAUGAGAUCCUUCGUUUGUGGAUUGCAUGACUAUGCUGAUAGCUACUGCUUUUUGGUUGGAUGAAAGAAAGGAUCUACUGAUAAAGAAAAAGGUGGGAGAAAAAAAGAGGUAGAAAUUUUUAACGGAGCACCUGUUUCAGACCAUGCAUAGUAAAUGGUUUCUUCUGGCAACUUGACCAACUGCUUGCUGUGUCAUUUCAUGCUGUUCUCCACAGGAUAGUACUCCUGGGUGAGUUGAUGAAACCAUGGCAACCACCUAUUAACGAGAGAAUAGACUCAACGUUUGGUCAAAUGUAUAGUGUGUUGAUGGAAUAAUGGUUCAAUUCGUUUGGAUCAUGACCUGUACUCCAACAACCAUUGGGUCGUGAAUACCCAGUUAUACGUCAGUCACCUUACCUUUCAAGUGUAACAAGAAGUUGCAACCAGCAUAUGUACGUUACAAGAAAUUAAUAAGCUGUUACCGCUUAUUGAUGUGCUUGUACAGGCACCUUGUCAUUUGCUUGUAUGUUAAAACUUAGACAAUUUGUUUAUAAUUGUAUUAAUGAUAAGUAUUACAAAUAGUACUACAAGCACUUCAAUAUGUAGUACUCCUUCAGUACAGAAAUGAACUUACAAUUGGCGGUUCGGCUUGGUUCCACGUGACCACAUAAUAAGUAACAGUUUCACAGAAGAACAUGAUACUUCGUUGGGACAAGUAAUUUGAAAGUAUGGUAACUAAUAUUUAAAAUGCAACAAAUUUUGAUUACACCAUGUACCAUUUUGAGUUACAACUAGUUAUAUAUAUGUUACAAUUCAUUACAACUAAUGAAUUUGCAAUCGGCAGUUUUUCGUCUUAUCUACUUAAAACUAGUGAUAUUACAACUAGAAAUUUCCUGAUAUUACAACUAGUGAUACUACAACUAGUUAAUAUCUGAUGAACCUUUCCUCUUCUCUUGUUUGUGCAAUUGCACUUGGCACAAACAACAAGUCCUCCCCCCAACACAUAAAAUUUCAUUAGACACUUUAGUAAGUGUCUAAUGAGAAUAUAAAGAUGAUCGAUUCGAACCCCAAAACAAUUGAUGUAGCGGGGCCUUCUCGAACAUCUCAUUAAAUUAGCGAGAUCUUCUCGAACAUCGUACAACCUACUGGCUGCUAUUUGGCAGCCAAGAACUUGAUUUUUGUGUGAACCCUCUAUUGAUGACACUGCAAUUGAAGUUAGAGGCGGGUUGAAGAAUACUAAUAAUAAAUUUCAGGCACGAGUUCAUUGCCACCCUUCAGUAGAAUGAUAUGAGAAGUGUGAAGUAAUUUAAAAUGAAAAAUGUUUGUGUAGUAAUGAAAGGUGGACGAAAAAAUAUUUGUUGUUGAGGGAUAUACUACUGCACCCGCGCCCUUUUAUAGUCCGCCAACAAAGAACAAUGUGCUAAAAUAUCACUGGACAAUGCAUUCCAGGGCAAACAAUUUCGUCCUGGCAGUGGAAGCUGUAGAGUUCAAUGCAUGCCAUUGAACUGUGUCACAUCUGUUCAGACAAUAAAACAAAUUAUGCAGCUUUUGUCAUGAAAUGACCUGUAUACCAAUAUUAAGGGUCACGUGGAUAAAGAGUUACACAUCAGUGGCCUGUACAUUUCACUAUGUACGGAUUGCAUUACAACCAGUUGAGUGUAUGUUACAAUUAAUUAUAACUAAUGAAUUUGCAAUCUGCAACUUUUCGUCUGCUCUAUUUAAAACUGAAUAAUAUUCCAACUAGAUAUUCCUUGAUGUUACAACUAGUGAUAAUACAACUAGUUAAUAUUCGAUGAAACUUUCCUCUUCUUUUGUUUGUGCUAUUGCCCUUGGCAGAAACGAUAAUUCCUCCCACUGACACAUUAAAUUUCUUAGACACUUUAUUAAGUGUCUAUUGAGAAUAGUUACAAUGAUCAUUUCGAACCCCAAAACAUUCGGUAGCGAGGCAUUCUCGAAUAUCUCAUUAAAAUAAUGAGAUCGACAUUUUUGCAUAUGAAGCCAACUAGUAUAUCACGGGAGAAGAGACUGUAGACUCACAUGCAGUGCUUGAACCAUGUCAGAUAAGUUUCGUUACAUACAAAGCGUUAGAUUUGUAGUACCGACAGUGAAUAUACGUGUUACGUGCUGUUUCUAAUCGUUUACAUGACAGCAAUGUCGUCCCAAAUGUGGAAGCAGCAUGAUGCGUCACAUGCUGCUACUGAAUUAUUUCAAAUCAAUUCAGACAAUAAAAUAAAUGUUGCAGCUGUCUUCUUGUUCUGGUCCUGUACACCAACUUUGAGAGGGGUGGAAGACUACUAAUAAUAAAUUUUGUAUUCGGGUUCAUUGCCACCUUUCAGUAGUAUGAAAUGGGAAGUGUGAAGUGGAAUACAAUGAAAAGUGUAAACGAUAAUGAAAGGGGGAUGAACAAACUUUUGUUGUUGUGGGAAAUUUUGUAGUACAACUGCGCCCUUUAAUUAAGUGACGCUAUCCCAUUCAAAUUGAUUGACAAUCUACCAAUUGUCCUUAAUUUGCCAAAUUUAGGAAAUUAUGAGGAUGGAAUGUGUAUUUAUGAACUUGAAGGAUGAAAUUAAUCAAAAUUAUAAAAUUACAAGGAUAAAAUGUGUUGUGCAUGAAACUUUAGGGAUGAAAUUGGUUAACACCUUAAACAUUAAGGGUGAAAAAUAUAUUUUUGUCGACGAUAUAAACUAGCAAAGAUGCUUCUCAGAAAUUAGCAAGUAUGAAAUAAGUAACAUGUUGACUGGGAUCUAACACAAAAACAUCUCAGACAUCAAACGACACGUUUGCGAGCUGUUCAUGGCUAAUAUUCGGCCAAACAAAAUUAGUCCAGUUUAGAUAUCAUCUUAUACCACAUUUUUUAACAAUAUGUGUGGAACCCUUCUAAUUUUGUACUACAAUUACACGUUGUCGAACGGGAGUUACACCAUGUGCAAACAGAGUUAUGGAGUAUACAAAAUGCACACACCUUCAGCAACGAUUGCACUUGGAACCUUUCCUGUGUAUGUCCGCAAAUUUUGCAUUACUGCACCUAUGAAAUAGGCAUGCCAGGAAGUAGGUGACGGGAUUGAAAUCUAUAGAGUAACAUCCUUUCUUGGAAUCAUGUCCAUUUGAUUUCACACCUACUUUGAGUACAAGGCGUACAGGAGAUAGUGUCGAGACGUUUGAUGAGUGUUACGGCGAGUUACUAAACAGUUACGGAAACUUGCCCUUUUUUUAUCAUGAAAGGAACUUAACAAAAACUCAGCAGGUCAUGUGCGUUGGUUGAGGCUUCUGACCUUCCGUAUACCGUUUAUAUGUGUAUAAAGUUUUUUCAUGCAGUAUUUGUUAAAAACAAGAAUUUUUUUCAUGCUUUAUGCCUUACCUGUACAUUAUUUCAUCACACACUUUAUCAUCUUGACCCCAUAUUUAAUAUUUGAUGCACAAGUACUUGACGUGGCUUUACACCUUGUUCAAAGAAGUGUUAUGUUUGAGCAAGUGUGGUAGUUACUGACAAUAAAUGGAUACAGAUAAUAAAACCUCCAAACUUUAAUGCCUGUGGUCGGUAUUACAAGUUCUUAGCAUAUAGUUACGUUUUGUUUUUAUAAAAAUACUUGUACAAGGGAGGUUAUUAAUGACAAUAAAUGGUGUCUUUGGUCCAUAUAAUAGGGAGAUUUGGAAGGGCAGCGUCCUUCGCACCAAGUUUGGACUUCAUGGAUGCAUCUUAAUGCUUCGAAAAUGUAACUAAUUUUUUUUCAUUGUCCAUACUCUUCAUCGUACCUCAAUCUAAAUGGCAUUGGUGCCAUGGGUCUUCAUUGUCCAUACUCUUCAUAGUGCCCAUAUUACAAGUAGUUGGCAUAGAGUUACGGAAAAUAUACAUAAAUAUACAUGUUCGGCUAAUGUUAUUACUGACAACUGCAACUCGAAGAACGCAAAAUACAUGACUUAAAAUCAGAUUUUAUGGCCAAAACCGAUAAAUAAACAGUAUGUUACCAAAAGACGCACAUUUCGUCGCUAAUAUGGCCAGGUCGAAAAACUACUACUUCAAAAACAUCCUUUGCUACUAUACAAAAAGAGUCCUGAAUUUACAUUCUUAACAAGGAUGAUCUUGCAACCUUUUACUGUUUACUCCCAACCGUGGCGACAAUAGUGUCCUGAAACUUUGUAUUAUGCUCCGAACUACAAAGCCGCGCGGUGUAGAUAAUUCGAUAUUUCGCAACAUUUUCCUGCACAAUUUCACCUCUUGUAUUAGUAAACCUGGGGAUUGAGGUAUUUAUUACCCGUUUUAUUGCCACAAGUAGAUCUACAGAUAGUUAUAGAAUAUGAUCACACCUCAGUAAUUCGCACAGCCAAUCUUCCACUCUAGUGUGCAAGAAAGGUCAUCGUGAAAACUCCACUAUCGAACCUGUACAGAUCAACAUAUUGUGACUCAGAAAUAUGGACAAUAUACUAAAGUGAUUGUAGUACACAUUGCAAUAGUAAGGUAUCGGGGUGGUAUUGAAAGAUCCCAUAUUUUACAUGCGAUCGGGUGACACAUGAGGUACAUCAGCAACUAAGAGUUUGAAAGUUGCAAAGUCAAGUUCCAUCCCAAAUUUAGCUGCCAUUAUCAGUCCGAGGGCACGUUGCUGCAUGAAACAGAGUCAAGUAACUAUUUGUAUGAUAAAAAUUAAUGAACAACUCCUAUAAACACUCAUACCAAGCGCUUUAGAACUGUAAUAUCUUUGCUCUUUGCUUGUUGUGGGUCAGGGUCUAGCAGAUGCACUAUGCGUUGUGAGACAUGGAAGGAGUACACAAACCAGCAGCUGUCUACGAGGACAGGAACAAGAAUCUGCAGCAUAAAAAAAAAUUUCAUCAGCACGAGCAUAAUAGAGUAGUUUACCAAUAACUUGCCAAUAUAUAGCAUGUCUCAUCAAUAGUUACGAUAAGAUUAUAUCCAUACCAACUGACACUUAGAUGGAUCAGCCGCUUUAUCAGGCCCGCGGAUCUUGAACAACUUCAUAAGCUUAGUAGUUAGGAUGUCAUCGGGUUGUGUUUCGAAUUUUCGAAGAUUCAAAAUGCCAUCCUGUUAGCAAUCAGUACAAGGGGAUAUAGAUGUUUAGGGUGAAUUUCACUGACUCGGGUAAUAGAUUGGUACAUGCAUUUGUGCAAAACUUUGAUAAUAUUUUAUUGAAUGGUAGUCAUUAUCUAACAACAAUUUUAAUACUUACAACUGCUAUAGGCUCGACAAUAUAACGCUUGACUCUACUGGUUGUACUAGCCUCCCCACCCCAGUUUAUAUGCCUGGCAAAUAUGUCCAUGACCUGCGUACAGUUACAGCCAAGUAACAGAAUGGGUUUAGUUACUGCCAUUUGAAAAACGUAUCGCUUUACCUUACCAAACCAACACAAUGUAUUAUUUCUCGGGUUGAAAAAAUAUGCCUAACCCGAGUCGAGACAUGCAUGCCAUCACAAAGAGUCCUGAGGUCAUCUCGUGUUAGAGAAAGUUGGAACAUCUGAAUGAGUGUCUCCCUGUCAUUAAGUCAAACAAAGAGUUACUUUUAAAAUUGGCAGUUGUUAGCAACCAUGUUCUACAAAAAAGUAAAUGCUUUAUCAUAAAGUUACAUUCAACUUCAGCCAACAAAUACUAGCGCUAAUAAACCAUGCAUUCCCUAAUAUUCAUCAAUUUUACUACCUUAUGCUAGUUCUUCAUUACAAAAAGGAUGUUCAAGAAACGUAACUCGUGAGAAAUGUUACAAUCUUAUGGUUAUAAUUGAUACCAUUUUAGACUAAAUUGAAUUACAAUUCGAAGAGCAUAAAAAUGCAUGUUAUAAUUUAGAAUGGACUGGAGGGAUGCAUUUAACAAAUAGUGGCACCAAUAAAUCCUUAAGUGCCUGUAUUAUAACCUCAUAAUCGUAUGAUAAAUAUAUAGGAACCUUACUUGGGAUUCUUAUGUACCUCCCACGCGAAUGCAGCGAUCCUUUUGUCAUAAAUGCUGAUUGUCACGUGCGAAGGCAGAACGUACUCGGCUGACCGUAGCAUGCUGCUUUUCUUCGUUGCCCGAGCUGGCCUGUGCUCAUUCUCAUCUUCAACAACUGCUGCAGAUAUCAAUACAUCAGAAAAUCAAAAUGUUAUGUAGUUCACACUGACAGAAUAAUGAUUAGGGGUUAAUAUCAGAAACCUACCUUGAGGUUUCUUCUAAUCACACCUAGCACCCCUCAUGUUUUCGAAAUCACACUUAGUACCCCUGGAAUGACAACUUUGGUAUCAUUGUCAACCCCUCAAUAUUUUUGUUCCACUUUUACCCUCCUUGUGAACUCUAUUUAUGUAGAGUUAAUUUCGGAAGCCUCCCUUGAGGUUUUCUCUAAAUUAUGAUAAACUAUUCUGUAAUUAUGUAAUAUUUUUUGUAGAAAGUGUAAUUCUAAUUGAAUUAUUUAUAAAACUUAUUAACACAAAUACGAUUAUUACAUAUUGGACCCAUAUGUAUACUAACAACUUAUCACACUUCUAUUGUAAUGGUGUACAAGAAGUUUACAUAAAAUUAUAAAAUAUUCAACAAAUGUUACACUAUUUAGGGAUGGUUGAUCUAACAAUUGUUCUUAUCCCACUCUCUAAUAUUAAAUAGUCAUGGAGUUUCCAGUGACGUUAACUUUUGGCAAUGGACAUAGUGCCAUUGCUAAAAUUGCAAUUCCUAAGUGAAUAAAACACAAUCUAGAAGUAAUUCAAAGAUGAUGGAAAUUCAUGAGUAUAUAGCAUCAGCAAGCCAUUUCUACUUGACAAUAGGGUAUCGCAAUAUUAAUAACUUACAAACUCCAUUCAACUAGGAUGCAUAAAAAGCUAUUUAUACUACCUCAUUUUCACAAAAAUGAAAGAGCAAGUUUAUUUACAACUACAACCACAUAUUGAGACUGUUGCUGCCAUUUUGACAAUCCAUAUUCACAUUUUUUUUAUCUUCAUUCAGAUCAAUGUAACAUUUUUUAAACAAUGUAUAACUCAAUGUGAAUUAUUUGUAAAACUUAAUAACAGAAACGUAAUCUGUUAUAAAGAUGUACAAGAAGCUUAUAUAAAAUUACAAAAUGUUCAAAACAUGUUACGCUGUUCAGGCACGAUAUUGUAGUGUUACUAAAGUUGAAGGGAUGUGAGUUACAUAAAUAGAGUUCACAAGGAGGGUAAAAGUGGAACAAAAAUAUUGAGGGGUUGACAAUGAUACCAAAGUUGUCAUUCCAGGGGUGCUAAGUGUGAUUUCGAAAACAUGAGGGGUGCUAGGUGUGAUUAGAAGAAACCUCAAGGGAGGUUUCUGAUAUUAACCCUAAUGAUUAGGUAUACAUGUUAUACAAAAAUUUAAUGGGGCAGCACAUUGCAAUAACGUUUAACCGAUCAGCUAAGAAUUCUUCAAUUCAUAUGCAAAACUCAAAUGUAACUAUUAAUUCAGACUAAAUACUAUCAAGGUUUCUAUCUUCUGAACACAACAUAAUAAAUUUAAUUUGUGAGUACUUGUACAUCAAAUUCAAGACACUGUUUUUUUGUUCACUAACCUUUCCUUUUGCGACUAUAAGACCGCAACCUUCUCGGUGUGUGUGGCAGAUCCAAAGGAUGCUCAAUUCGAAAGGGACCUGUUGAGUCAUCUUGGAUGAUUGUUGGGGUAUCAUUUGACUUGUACACACUGUCUGAAAUGUCCUUCCCAUCACUUGUGUUGCCAACAUUUUCUGCCUCCUUCCCAUCAGUGGUUCUCCCACUUUGCUCUUUUCCAACUGUCGUCUGCCCCAUCGAAUGUCGAUUUGUUGGUUCAGUCUCAUCUAUUGCUCUGGUUGAGGUCCCAAUGUCAUCAUCAUUACCGCCUGCAUCUUGUUCUUUUUCACUAUCACCGUCAUGGUCAGCAUUGGAGUCCUUUCCUGCUUCUGCGGAUUGAUAUUCCGAAUGAUCUUCACUGUCCAUAUCAAGAUGUAUUUGCUCUGAAUCAGACAUCCUCUGUUUCUGCUUUUCGUUUGAAACGACCUCUGUUGUUGCUGUUUUGGCCCUAGGAUGAGAACACAGCAAUUCUGCAAUAUUUAAUAUCCUUUUUUGGCAACUCACUGUCAUACUGUACACUUCUGAAAGCUCAACCUGCUUAUACAUUAACAAACCACAAUGAAUAGCCCGUUUCGACUUAAUCUGAACAGAUGAAUUCAUCAUAUUAUGCAUUGAUCUGUAUUAUUUACUCAUGGACCUCAUGAAAUCUGCCUGUUCGCUUUCAGGUGGUGAAAUAUUUUUCAAGAAAAGUUACAUGAAAAUGACUAAGCUGUAUUUGGCACACGAAUUGCAUGAAGUAUACAAUUAACUUUGUAUUUUGCAUGAAUAAUAUUCGAGAAUUUUUUUCUCUCUCGUUUCUGUCAUAAAAUAUGGAACAAACGACAUGAGCACACUGCGUUUCAAAUGUAGCUAGAUUAUAGCUGAGCACUAGUGUUAUUUUUGAUCGGCGUUCGAAAAAUCUUCCUACCUUUUUACAAAGCUUAACUACUUCUUUGUCCCAUACUCGAUUUACAACUAACUUUCCUGAUUUUGUAUGUCAAGCAUAGCAAACGCAAAAUGAUUGUAUGCUGUACGUCAACACUUAAUGAUUGUAUUUGACAAGAUUACUUUCCUAAGUUACGUAGCUGUGGCUGCUUACGAAUGAUUGUUUAAAUUAUAAAAAAUGUAUAACUUUAACUUAAGCAACAAUAGCGCAUAAUGAAGUAUCAGUUUUAACAGUUAGGCAGCUUACUGCGAUAUCAUGAUGCCCGCUGUCCAUCAUUAUUCCAACUAGUUCAGGGGGUAGUUCAUUUAUCUAUGCACCAGAUUCAGCCUCUUCUUCUUCAUGCGUCCCAAUCUACGAAAACAAAACCAAACCAUCACUUCAUAAGUACAUGGUAUGUGUGGCCUAUACAUACAAACUAGUAAGUUAAAAUCCAUCAAAAAAAAGUUAUCGCUCUUACUAGUUUUCCUUUUCCAUAACCUCCGAGAUUAUCGAUCUCCAAUGCAUCCCGUUCUGAAAUUAAAGCAUCUGUCCAUGCCUUUACUCUUGGUGUAACUCGAGCCACUCUGUGCUUCAGUAUUGUCACUCGAUCAAGGUAAUGCACCUGCAAUAUAAUUAGACACUGACACAUCAAUUAUAUCACCUGCAAUUCAAGUACUAUGCAUAAACAACCUUCAUGUGCCUACUUAAAAUUUCUUUUCGUUGCAUCCCCUACUAUUUAGAUCACUUACUAACUUUCAAUAUCACAUAACUAAACUUACCAGUAGGACAAACAUGCAACCCCCAACAUAUUGGUGCUGCUUUCCGCUUUUCUUCUGUACUUCUAAUAUCCUAUUGCAUAGUACAUUUCUAACGUACUCUGCCCAGUUUAAUGAGGGCACCUCAGUAACCACCUUCGUGCAAUCCCAUAGCCGAAUUUUAUGCUCAGCCCGUGUAGUUGGAGCUAAUAGACAUCCACAAGCAAAUGCAACAAAUAGUCGCUUGAACUCGUCCCCACCGCUCAUGCUUACUAACUCUUCGGGCAGCUCUUUCCAUUUGUAUGUUUGGCGACUUGGUCCAGAAUCUCCACCCUCACUGCUAUCAGUAUCUUCAACUGGUAAGGGGCCAUCAUUUGGGAUUCCAAGGAUUAAACUGAUGUCUUUUGCUGUUAAGGGUAGCACACCAUCUCUAUGUAGCUGAAAGCUACUUAGUGUAGGAUUAAAAUUGUCGAUCAGCCAGGUUGCUAUGCCGUUCGGAAUGGAGCGACACUUUAUUUCCAGCAGCCCUCCAAACCCCAAAUAUCUGAUUUGCUGUUUUUUUGUUUCAUCAAUGUUCGAUGCUAACCAAACCAUCUGAUUUGGUGAACAACGAAUGGUGUACUUCGGAUUCUAUAAUUAAGUUCAAGCACAAAAACUAGUUAGAUAUACACACAUUAUCACGUAACAACCUAUUUCAGCAUCCAUGCCUUGUGCUUACCUUAAUCUGAUGUUUUCCCGGUAUAGUCUUUCCAAGACGCGCCAUUUCUCUCUUGUACUCCUCUUUCUCUUUUCGAUAGUUCUCUUUUCGAUUCUGGACUUCUUCCUCGCUCAACUUAUCAUAUGCUGCUUUAACCAUUUUAUUAUACUGCAUUGGAUGCAUAUAAUCGUGAAUCAUGUUAUAUGUAAUUCAACAUUUUCUAACACAGAUUAAUAUCAAAAACCUCCCCUAAUGUUUGUUCUAAUCACAUGUAGCAUCCCCCAAGUUUUUGAAAUAACACAUAGCAUUCCCGACAGUAGGAUGUGACAGGUUCUCCUAAUCAAAAGGUGAGAAAUUAUCCAAAAAUCACCAACAUCUAUCUCAUGCCACAAACAACCUUAACUCGUUCAGAGGCAAAAAGAAAUUCGGAUAAGUAUUGUUAUACCAUAACCAAAGUUGAACGGUCAUAAUUUAAAAAUAAUCAAUGCAGUAUACGGAGACCAAUACUCCACUACAAGAACUAAGAAGAAAACUGCAUACCAAAAAAUAUUAAAAAAAAUCAAAAAAUUCUUUUGACAAACUGCUGAUAACUGUUCUGAAUUAUGUAAUAUUCUUUGUACAACGUGUAACUCUAAUUGAACUAUCUGUAAAACUUACCAACACAAGUACGAUUAUUACAUACUAUACCCAUAUCUACACUAACAACUUAUCACACUUCUGUUGCAAGAAUGUACAAGAAGUUUAUACAAAAUUACAAAAUGAUGAAAAAAUGUUACACUAUUUAGGGAUGAUUGAUCUAACAACUGUUCUUAUCCCCCUCCUUAAUAUUAAUUAGUCAUGCCGUUUCCAGUAAUGUUAACUUUUGGCAAUGGACAUAGUGCCAUUGCCAAAAUCGCAAUUCCUAACUACAUAAUAACACAAUCUAAACGUAGUUCAAAGAUGAUGGGAAUUCAUGAGUAUAUACCCUAAGCGAGCCAUUUCUACUACAUAAUGGGGUAUCGCAAUCCAUAUGUUUCCAAAACACCAUCUACAAGCAAUAAUCUAGACACUGAGGAUUGCAAUAUUAAUAACUUACAAACUCCAUUCCACUACGAUGCAGAAAAAAGCUAUUUAUACGACCGCAUUUUCCCAAAUAUGGAAGAGCAAGUUUAUUUACAACUACAACCACAUUCUGAAACUAUUGCUGCCAUUAUGAGAAUCCAUACUCAUAUUUUUUAUCCCCGUUCGGAUCAAUGUAACAUUUUUUAAAUAAUGUGUAACUCUACGUGAAUUAUUUGUAAACCUUAAUAGCAGAGACGCAAUCUAUUGUAAAGAUAUACAAGAAACUUACAUAAAAUUACAGAAUGUUCAAAACGUGUUACAUUAUUCAAGGAUGAUUGAUCUAACACCCUUCCCUACCUCGCAUCCCUCCAAACGAUACAUAUCAGCAUACUCCAUGGUGUAUGAAGAUAUGUAAUUGUGUUACAACCCUGAUGCUAUCCUAUUAUUUAUUAGAUGAUCAUUUACAUAUACUAAAAAACAAGAUUUAGACCUGUUUUGCUACUAGGAAAUAAACUCUUUUUGGGCUAUGGGUACAGGUGGAACAAAAAUAAAGUCUCUAUCCUACAAUUCAUUUUUUUCCUAUCAUUUUGAAAUAGAGAGGCUGACAAUGACACCAAAAUUGUCAUUGCAGGGGUGCUAAGUGUGAUUUCGAAAACAUGGAGGGUGCUAGGUGUGAUUAAAAGAAACCUCAAGGGAGGUUUCUGAUAUUAACCCUUUUCUAAUAGUGUUUUUUACUUUUACCGUGCAACAACUAUAAACAAUUAAUGCUUUAUUUAGUUCUUAAUACAUACCUCUGUUAUCUUAAUGCCUUUCCCUGGAACGGUGCUUUGAUACUCCUUCCUACACACAUUAAAUAUUAACCAAUUAGCUGUGCAUUCUACUCAUGAUUAUUAUUUUCAAUAAACAUCAAUAUUUCCUAAACUUCAUCCACGCAUUCAACGGUGGAACUGGUUCUCUAACUUCACUUGUACCCGCUGCCUCUAUUCCUUCAUUUUCGCCUAAACUCUUGUUCCGUCUUUCGCUUCUUAUUCGUGCCAUCCUGUUCAUGCAUAACAACAAAUACAAUAAACAUAUACCACCGAAGUCUCAAAUACGACAUACGAGUUACACGCUAACAUUUCUACUCUGCUUCUUCUAUGUACUUGUUAAUCCACACCAUAUAACAUUUAUCCAACACUGUGUUCAUGCACAAUAAAUAAUACAAUCUAACAUACAUCAAUGCAGUCCAAAAUACGACAUUCCAAUUUCAAUCUAACAAUUCUCUUCUCUUUCUCGCCAGUACCUGCUAAUCCACACCAUGUAACAUUUAUCCAACACCACGUAACACUUAUCCAACACUUUGUUCAUGCACAAGAACUAAUACCAUAAACAUACAUCAAUGCAGUCCCACGUACGACAUUCAAAUUUCAAUCUAACAUUUCUCUUCUCUUUCUGCCUGGUAUCUGCUAAUACACACCAUGUAACAGUUAUCCAACACCAUGUAGCAUCUAUCCAACAUUUUGUUCAUGCACAACAACUAAUACAAUAAACAUACAUCAAUGAAGUCCCAAAUACGCCAUUCAAAUUUCAGUCUUAACAUUUCUCUUUUCUUUCUGUCCUGUACCUAUUAAUCUACACCAUGUAACAGUUAUCCACCAAUAUGUAAGAUUUAUCCAACAUUCUCUUCAUGCACGUGAACUAAUAAAACAGAUACACUAAUGAAAAUCACAAAAUGAUACAUACCAAUUUUACACUAACAUUUCUACUCUUUGCUUCUCUGUGCCUGUUAGUCCACGACAUGUAAGACUUAUCCAACAUUAUGUUCAUGUACAUCAACUGAUACACUAGACAUACAUCAAUGAAAUCCCAAAUAUAACAUACCAAUCUCCGACUAUCAUUUCUAAUUUGUCCUUCGCCUCUACCCUUUGUCAUUUUCUAGAUCUUUUCCUUAUACUAUGUACUACAUCUCACAAGUUUUGACUUUCUUAUGUUAAUGUUUUACACUUUAACACACCGUAUCAAUGUUUCUCCAUGUCACUUUUUUCCUACAUAACAUAAUUUUUAGCCAACGUGCUAUAUUACCCUUCAUUGCACUGAAUUAUCUUGUCACUAUUUAGUUUCGCAGUGUAUGAUACACUCAACGCAUUGUACUAUCUACUUAGCAUUUUGUAAUUCAGCAUCUACACCCAUUUUUACGCCUACGAAAUCCCAAACCCAUUCACACAUUUUAUCAAGCAGUUGUGCCGCAAGAUUUCCCCCUCCUUUCCCAUCUCCUGUUUCGAUGAUCACAUACAAUUUUACAUAACACUUCUAUCAAGCUGAACUUUUUUACUUACUAUACACAAAAGCGUCAUAGUGUACACCAAAAACAACCACAAGUAAGGUCCUUCCACUUUGAAGUAUAAAUUACACAACUGUAUCAUCCCAGGUUUCCACAUGUUUUACCUUUACGAUUUGUGGUAUUUAACUACUCAGGAUCCCACGCUCUUCAACUUUGAAGCUGAGGUUCACGUUUCUUCUUCUUUUACUAAAGCCGAUUCACAACAAAAUUGGCCUUCUACCACCACUUCUUCCUUCUGUUUCCUCUGCUCAGCCUUCAACAAUGCCACAGUUCCACAGCUUGACUCCAAUGUCACACUGUUCUUGCCAAUCUCCUCUUUUUCUCUAUUAUUUCUCUUCUCGUCUAUUGCCCUAGUUUUUUGAUAGUUAUGAAUUUCGAAUAGUGGCAACUGCUUCGUGGGUUUGGGAGAGGGUCUAAGUGGGAACCUUCAUUUUCAACCUUUCAUUUUGGGCGGGAGGACACUUACCAACGUUGCUGCCGUUCCGUAACUUGCUGUUACCCCAGAUACGAUUUUAGAUUUUUUUUUCCCUUCUCAAUUAAUAGAACGUCGUCGUUUUGGUCUCACCUGAAGGCUUGCUGACUUGGACCAUUUCUCGCCUCACGUUCGAUUUUGUGAGGGGACCGUUUAGGAGCGGUCCUUCUGAGGACCGCUCCUGCCCCGUAUCCUUAAUUAGCAUUUUGAUGCAGGCAUUAAUUAGUCAAAGUCGUUCUUUCUUCCAGCAAUUUCGGGGUCCAACUAUAGGGAGUUAUAUGUGAUUUUUCCUACUUUUUAUAUGGAAAACUUUCUAAUAAUCUAUUGUAAUAGUUCCAUUGUAAAUUCUCAUGUUGUACUUUUAGCAUAACAAAUGAUGCACUUCAAUUUUUCACAUCUUAUACUUGCAAAAAAUUUGUUCUUUAGAGUCACCCUAAAUCGCAUUUCCAUUUAACAAAGAAUAUGUCUGCUAAAUCAAGAUCAAAAAAGAAAGUUAUCAAUUUUGGUCAAAAAAACAUUAAAGCAGAAAUCUUACACACCGCGUCAAUCACAUCACUUCUUAAUGGUCUUUUUUUUUUGUCAGUAACGAUACAUUUGUAUAACCUACUCUAUCCUAAUCUAAGGGGAGGGGGAGCCUAAGGAGGCUGUGUGUGGGCUAGUGGGUAUACAGACCCAAUUAGACCAAGGGAGUGCUAUGGCACAACUCUUAGAUUUUUUUCACUGCUGGUGAGAUUUGAACCCUCAUCAACAGCCCAAGGAGGGACUUAAAUCCCUUCCUGGUGGCCACUGAGCCAUUGGCCUUCUUAAUGGUCAGUCCACACCAAAAGCCAAUCCAAAUGUGUGAUUGCGCAAUUUUCUGCAGUGGGGCAGAAACAUGCAGCUAUGGCCUACUUGGCAGCUCUGCUCCACAAAAUCAUAUAGGGAUAAUUUCAGAAACCCCCCCUGAGGUUUCAUGAAAUCUCACCUAGCUCCCUUGAUGACUUUAGAAGUAUUAAACUAGUGCUAAUAUAGUGAGUAUUGGCGUACAAAGUUACAAGCAGAUAACUUAGAGUAGUUGGCAAUUACCACUUUGUAACUCGUUAUGGCUUCUAAUUUUCAAAAAAAAAAAUAUCAACUGCAAAAUUAUAAAGAGCUUGACAUGAUAAAAUUAACUAAUUGGGUUAUUGAUUUAAAAUGUAUUUUAGUUCCACACUAGUCUAGUGUAUUUCUUGGCUACAGAGUUGCACAGUUGUUCUGUUGACUCUUCAGAGCAUUUCGAAAUUUUCUGUCAUUGAAGGACGGUCAUUUGGGGUCAUUUGAAUGCACCACAACGCUUUCAAAACUAAUUUCCUCGCAAUUCCAUUUUCUUCUUCAGUCAUACGAUCUCCAAUUUCCUUGUCCUCCUCUGGUUGAACUUUCUUGUCCUCCUCUUUGUAUUAUUAUAACAUUUACGAUUGAUAAUUGUCACAGGAAGAUUAAUCAACUUCUAGAAUACCAACAAGCAUAAUUUUUGGGGCCCUGGAAUUGAAUAAUUUGAGUAUAUUCCACAUUUGAACGUUUUAACUUUCCAACAACAUCAGACCCGUUAAUGUUUUGCAGAAUAGUCAUUUUUUUCUUGUGAGAAAAAGAGAAAAAACCUCUAGACCUCUAGACCCGUUAAUUACCCUUGUUUUUUUAAAUCCAUAAAAUUUAAAAGAGAAAAAACCUCUAGACCUAGAUGCCGUCUUUCACAAUUCACACGCUAAAUGUCUAAUUGGAAAAUGGUUUCACCUUAUACGAAGUGCAAAACCAAAAAGACUCUUGUUUAGGAUUUUGCAAAUUAGAUAACAAGGGUAAUUAUUGUUGCGAAUAAUUGUGAAUUUAAAAAACUUGUUCCACUUUAAAAAAUAAAAAAGACUUCCAAUCAUUUUAUAAUGCUUAGCUUCUUAAUUAAAAACCCCCAAACAAUUAUCAACCAAUACCAAUGUUUUUAAACUCGGACCGGUCAGUGAACCAGAGAGGUGGCGGUUCGCGGUCCGACCGGUCCAACCGGCCGGUUCAAAGGUUCACUGUUUUUUUUUUUUUUUUUUUUAGUGUUAAGUACUAAGCAGGUUUCAUUCUACACUUGAACUUUACUAACAUAACUUAAUUUAAGUUAUGAUAAUAAUAAAUUUUCUAAAAGUUAUACACAAAACAUGGAAUGAUAAAUAUAAUUAAAAUAUCAUAAUUCACCACAAGUUUUCAUAAAUUCAUUAUAAACAUAAAUAGAUACAAUCCAAAUGUUCACCAAUUAUCAUAAAUAAAAACACAAAAAAUAAAUAAAUUAAAUAUUGAAAUUCUUUUACAACCCUUAAAAAAAUUCAUAAAAGAGUUCAAGUUUAGACAAACUAUUUGAAUUGCAAACUUUUAUCAGUGGCAUGAUAAGCAACCACACCACCUUCACAAUUUCAUCAACUUAAGCUGAAAAAGUUAAAAUUUUAUUAUAAAAAUAUAAAUCUAAUUGCUCAAACUAAAAAAAACUAAAAAUUUUUUAAAAACAAAUAUACAGUUAAACACAUAAAAAAUUAAUUGCUACUAAACAUUACUAAUUAACAUGUUAUAUUAAAUUCAAUGAUCCUAUACCAUUAAUUAUUCUAAAUUCAAUUAUCAAUAGCUUCGAUUAUGUGCCAACUACCAUAUUGUUUACCAGCCCAAUGUUAUUAUUUGUAAUUCCUACCCAAUUCCUACACGGAUGUGCACUACUUUUGCAAAAAUUUCAUCCUUAAUUAAUCGAAUAAAAAUAAAACAAAAAUGAGGAAAACAUAUGAAAAUUGAGGGGAAAAAGAAGAAAAUGCAAAAAAUCAACUAAAGAUAAUAAUAUAGAAAAAAAAACCUUGAAAAGAAAAAAAUUAAACUUACUAAAAUGUUGGAAAACAAGAAAAGUUGAAAUUUUCAACUUGUUUACAAUCUACUAAAGAUAAUAACCUGAUAAUAAUGGUGAAGACUUGAGAAAAUCUUGUUGUGGAUAUUUGGGUUAAAAAUGGUUAAGAAGAAAAAAUUGAAAAAAAAAAUAAGAGAAGAACUUGAUGUUUUAAUAUAUUUUUUAGUCAAGUAGAAUUCUCAACAAACUUAACUACAGUCUAGCGGUAAGAUUGUCAUAUUUAAACUUGGAGACCCAGGUUCAAAUUUUGACUACACCAUUCUUGAUAUUUUGUUGAAAAAUUUAAAAAAUCGCCGGUUCACGGUUCUUAACGGUUCGCACGGUUGGUCCGGUUCGUCCGGGUUUCAACGGUUCUCCAUGAACUUCCGGCUUUAGUAUUAGACCGGACCGGUGACAUGGCCGGUUCGCGGUCCAACCGGUCGAACCGGCCGGUCCGGUCCGGUUCUGAAAACAUUGACCAAUACGUAGGAUGGGUUCCUAAACCCAAGUUUUCUCGUUCCGUAUCAUAAAAGAUGUCAAAGUCAUUGUCGCGUUUUGAUGCAGGCAUUAAUUAGUCAGGUCGUUCUUUCAUCUAUCAAUUUCAGAGUCCAACUAUAGGGGGUUAUAUAUAAUUUUUCCAACUUUAUUCUUGUUACACACCACCUAAGUGGAAAACUUUCUAAUGGUGUAUUGUAAUAGUACCAUUGUAAAUUCUCAUGUUGUAUUUUUAGCAUAACAAAUGAUGCACUUCAAUUCUCCACAUCUUAUACCUGCAAAAAAUACGAUAUUCAGAGUCACCCUAAAUCGCAUCCCCAUUUAACAAAGAAUAUGUCUGCUAAAUCGAGAUAAAAAAAGAAAGUUAUCAAUUUUGGUCAGAAAACGUUAAAAGCAGAAAGCUUACACACCGCGCCGUGAACAUCACUCCUUAAUGGUCAGUCCACACCAAAAGCCAGUUCAAACGUAUGGUUGGCAAUUCUGCUCCGCAAAAACAUAUGUGGUACUAGCAGAAGACAACUCAAUAUCUUAUCUUGUUUUUAUUCCUACUUCCUACAAUUCUAUGCUUCUCUCUUCUUCGUUCUUUUUCCACACGGAGAUCACCAACCAAGUUGAAUGUUGACAUGGAAUCUUUUUUGAUUUAUUGAUUGAAGGAAAUUCUUAUCAGACAUUUUCAGUUAGAUUUUGUAGUAUUUGCAUUUCCAAGCAAUUUCAUGCUGGGCAUCAUAUCCAUUGAUAUUUAGGACGAAGAUGCAUUUAUUUUAUUGUACAGGAAUAUUCUACUGAGUGAUGGAAAAUGUAGCUGGGGUAAUUCACUAAAAUGUAUUUGUAGCUAAUACCCUAACCAUUCUUUACCAGUAAAACCAACAAGCAGAAUGAUCAGAUGACUUUAGAAGAAGACUUUAGAUAUAUUAAACAAGUGCUAAUAUAGUGAGUAUUGAUGUACAGAGUUACAAGUUACAGAUAACUUAGAUUAGUUAGCAAUUGCCACUUGUAACUAAUUGUGGCUUCUAAUUUUCAACAGAAAAAAAAUCAACUGCAUAAUUAUGAAGAGCUUGACAAGAUAAAAUUAAUUAAUUGUGUCAUUGAUUUAAAAUGUAUUUUAGUUCCACGCUAGUCUAGUGUAUUUCUUGGCUACAGAGUUGCACAAUUGCUCUGUUGAAUCUUCAGAGCAUUUUGAAAAUUUCCAUCAUUCCUAGGUGAGUGAAUUCUUAGGAAUCGUUUAGCCUUUGGUUCGAAUCUUACCUUGGAUUUGAACUCUCGUGACUUACUUAGGGUGUGUCACGUGGGGCUGCAACAUAUCCCUCGGUUUGGUGUGUCGACUCGGAUCGAAAGUGGUUCAAAUCGCGGCAUAUUUUGGAUUACAAAAAAAAAAAAAAAAAUUUUUUGUUGAGCUGAAGAACCAAAAAAAUAAAUCUAUUGUAAACCGAUAUUGUCAUUAUUUUGACAAUUUAUUAUAAUCUUUCGUAAAAGGUUUCAUUCGUGAUUUUUUUAUUGCAAAUAUUCUAAAUUGUUCACACCAGUCUAGAUUCGGGAUUAUUUACAGAUAUUCAAAAUUACUAUUACUUGCAAAUACUUAGUUUUAGUUAUCAUUGCGUGGCUUACAAACAUUAAUGUCCCAUGAAAAUUAGACCUAUAGCCGGCAAGAGUUGUAUUCUUGACUAUAUACACGAAUAAGUCACAAGUAAUGGAUUGCAGAUCCAUUUUUUUUUUUUUUGGGUCAAAGUCUCUUGCUGAAAAUAAAAUUAAAAAAAGAAUUGUAGAAAUAUACUUACCUCAUGGAAAUAUCAAAGGUCCCUCGCACAUAAAAAAGUCCAAUUAAAUGCCAAAUCGGGUCACUCGGGAGUUGGGGCCACUUAUUGGAGAAACGUUUUUCGCCGUUGUUGACUAUUUCUUCCUUCGCUUCUUCCUGAACCCUUCCUCGUCCACAGGGGACACGACAGUGGUGACUGUCCCCCCUAACUUUUAAGAAAUCAUAUUUGUUACCCACAAUAUUUUAUAGAAUUUUGCUUUAAUUUCUAAUUUUGCCCCCUUCAAAAAUUUUUUAUAACUCUAGUGUCCCACCUCCACCUGUUCCUUUUCUUUAAACUUAUCUUUGAUUGAUUGUUAUGGUAAAUGGUAUUAUUAAUUUGCCGAUAGAGAAUUAUUACUCUUUAAUCAUGUGUCUCAUCUUACUAUAAGAUAUAUCAUUUUUAUACUUUCACAUGUAGCACUAUUUUAUAGGUGUAAUCUCUGAACUUUUUUUUUUCUUCUUGCCUACAAAAGUACUCCAUUUAUUUGUUCUAUCAAUUUAUGUUUACAACAGUCAUUUGUAGUAUUAAAAAUUAAAACUUUUACUACUUAAUUAACAUUUUAAGUAUAAAAGGCUACACAUUUUCUACCCUAAAACUACUUAAACUUGAUGUAUUUAUAACUAAAUAUGCCCUCCCUCCCCCCCCCCCCCCCCCCUCCACCUUCUCCUGCAAAAUCCUGACUCUGCCACUACUCAUCAUCAACAUUUUCUUUGGCUUCACAAAGAACUAUCAUUUUCUUGAAACCAAAGGUUGUAAUAACAAGGUCCCACAUUAAGGAUGAGUAGUUAAAAUUACUUUUUUAGUGUGGACGAAUUCUGGGGAUACAACUAUGGAGAUUGAGAAGACAAUGACUAUAACUGCUACUAUAUAAAUUAUCACAAAAAAGGGGUCCAUUGAAAGCUUUUGGACGAACUGCUCAUAUUUCGAAAAUAUUAGAACUAAUUUUUAUUAAUAUUGGAAGCUACUAGCCAUGAUAUAUCACAAUUUUAGUUGUUAGAUUAACAUGACAACAAUCAUUCUCAAAGCAAUUUCCUGACAGAUUCAAAACACAACUCAUGCUACAGCUCAGGCAGGCGUAGACUUGACUCCAAACCAUUUAUCUAUACAGAGAAAACUGCUCUUCCAUCAAACCUGAAAACUCAUCAGAAGAAAAAGAAAAAAUGGAAAUCUUGAGAUUGGUCAUAGUGGCCAUUAGCUUUUCUUCUCUACUAAGCCCUGCAAUCUUUGCGGACAACGUCUCAAUUGCACCUGCAGCAGCACCACCAGACGAUGUCUGUGCAGAGAAAAGAUGUAGCCCCUACGGUCCGGCCGUAAGAUUCCCAUUUCUGCUACGAGGAAAGCAGCCUGAAGAGUGUGGCUACAAUAAUCCAGGGUACAAUCUUUAUUGUGACAGCGGAAACCAUACCUCACUUGAGUUUCCCCCUUCAUCAAUGAAAUUUGUGGUCAAAAGCAUCAACUAUAAGACUCAAAUGAUCCAAGUCCAGUUUGCUGAAGGUUGCCAACUCAAGUAUCUGAGAAAUCUACCCCGUUUCAGUUUUCUGCACCAGACUACAUGAUAGAUCGAUAUUUGUUCAUGAUAGAUCGAUAUACUUUGUUCAAUUGCUCAUUGGCAAAUGGUGAUACUUGGUCUUCCGAUGAUGGAUAUGACUUUCGUUGUCUAGACACCCCUGGAUACAAAGUGCGUGCAACGCCUUCUCAUACUGAAAUUCGGUUUUUGUCUGUGGAAUUAUGCACAAAGAUGUAUGACACAAAUUUGGUUUCGGGGGAACUAUUUCGAAUGCGAGACUCACUGAACCUGGCCUGGUCCUUGUCUGCAUGCAAAAAAUGUGAGGUACGAGAAGGUGGAAUUUGCAGAUGGAAGAAUGGAACUAACAAUAAAUUUGACUGCUUUGGAGGAAAGAAUCUCGACCCUGGUACCAUUUACUGCUCCUUCCUGGUCCAUUUCUUGAUGUUUCUCAUUGAAGUACUUCAGAUAGACUAAUUGACUAAAGAUUCAGACUAAUUGAAAAGGAUAAAUUUAAAGAAAGGUAUCAUGUUGCUAUACCCUUCCCUGUUUUCUGAACUUACCCAAUUUGGUUACUGUGUAUUGAUAAAAUGGACCAAAAGCACGAAUACUACUAGGAACAUAUGUAAGAGGCCACAAUAAACAGAAAGAAAGAAAGAAGAGAGAGAGAGAAUUCACGAACAAUACUUGACUGUUGUACAUAGAUGUCUUUUUGACAUUUGCUAGUAUGUUACAGGUGUAUCGAAGAAAUUACUCAUUUCAGGUGAGAAUCUUGCUGUACAUUUUUCUCAGUUAAUUUUUCUAGUAUAGAGAAAAGAAAAAGUAAAAUUGACAUGUGCCUUUAACAACAGGUCCAAUCGUGGGGUGUUUCUUUCUCAUAUUAGCGACCCUUUACAAUGUCUAUAAAACAAAGAAAAUGGACAGAGAAAAUCAGAAGAGAAUCAGAACAUUUUUGGAGGACUACGCUGCCAUGAAGCCUACUCGAUAUUCCUAUGCUGAUAUCAAGAGGAUCACAAACGACUUCAAGGAUAAAUUAGGUGAAGGAGGCUAUGGAAAUGUGUUCAAAGGCAAAAUUUCAAAUGAAAUAUUUGUUGCCGUGAAGCUGCUGCACAAUUCCACAGGAAAUGGGGAAGAGUUUAUCAAUGAAGUAGGAACAAUGGGCACAAUCCACCAUGUAAAUGUUGUCCGCUUGGUAGGCUUCUGUGCUGAUGGAUUCAAAAGAGCUCUUGUUUAUGAAUUUUUGCCAAACGGUUCCCUGGACAAGUUCAUAUUUCCGGAAGGUCAAGAGCAUCAUAACCUUGGAAUGGAGAAGUUACAAAACAUUGCAUUUGGCAUUGCGCGAGGUAUCGAGUACCUUCACCAAGGAUGUGAGCAGAGGAUCCUCCAUUUCGAUAUCAAACCACAUAACAUCUUGCUUGACAACAACUUUAACCCGAAAAUAUCUGAUUUUGGGUUAUCCAAGCUUUGUGAAAAGGGAAGAAGUGCAGUUUCAAUGACUGCUGCAAGAGGAACCAUGGGCUACAUUGCCCCUGAAGUCUUCUCAAGGCACUUUGGCAAUGUGUCUUACAAAUCAGAUAUCUAUAGUUUUGGGAUGCUGUUGCUUGAAAUGGUUGGACGACGGAAGAACAUUGAUGCCAAUGUGCAAAAUGUUAGCCAAGUGUACUAUCCCGAAUGGGUUUACGGACAGUUGGUUCAAGGGGAAGACUUGUGAAUCCAAAUUGAGGAAGAUGGAGAGGAUGUCAUUGCCAAAAAAUUGGCAAUUGUGGGACUUUGGUGCAUUCAGUGGAACCCUGUGGAUCGUCCUUCCAUAACCUUCGUUCUUCAGAUGCUUGAAGGAAAUGGAGAAAGUCCGAGUCUUCCCCCAAGUCCUUUUACCUCAACAGAUCCCAUGAAUCCAAGCAAUCCAAGCUU
rnacentral:lncRNA from 1 species